rnacentral:rRNA from 1 species
UACAGGGGGGGCAAGCGUUGUUCGAAAUUACUGGGCGUAAAGGGUUCGUAGGUGGCCACUUAAGUCAGACGUGAAAUCCCUCAGCUUAACUGGGGAACUGCGUCUGAUACUGAGUGGCUUGAGUGCAGGAGAGGAAUGCGGAAUUCCAGGUGUAGCGGUGAAAUGCGUAGAUAUCUGGAGGAACACCGGUGGCGAAGGCGGCAUUCUGGACUGUAACUGACACUGAGGAACGAAAGCCAGGGGAGCAAACGGG